GGGAGAAGUGAUGAGAUCAUAUCCACACGAGAUAUCUGCAUUUUUUAUUAUUAUGAUGAUCACAUCAUGCACUACCAUCUGAUCUCUC